AUGGCACCAGGGUGGGGGGCAGAGCUGGGGCACCUCCUCUCUGAGGUGACAUCCCCCUGUCACCUCAACAUCCCUUUAAUCUGGGGUGAGGGGAGAAGAGAGGAUCCCCCCCAGCACCAUCCUUGUCCCGCUCCGGUGACCCCCAGGGUACCAUGGCCAGGUGCAUUGUGGGAAACUCCCCAUCCCAAGAGCUGCCCUGAGGGCCUGGCGGGUGGACCGGAGCUGRGGGGACAGCAGGCUGCCCACGGUGCCCCAGAGCCUGCCCUCACACAGGGCAAAGCCCCUCUUCAGGCACCCCCAAAGCAGACCCCGGGCAGGGGGGCCAGAUGCGGGGUGGGGCAAACAGGACAUUGCACUGCCACGGCCAAGCCGCUUACCUCCAUGCGCUCGUGCAGCUCCUGCUCCAGGGUCUCCAGUUGCAUGGACACAYACGCUGGGAGGGCAGAUCCACGGUCAGCCUGCACCCCCCUUCCCUGUCCCAGAGAGCUGGGGGGGGUUACGGAGCCAGUUUUCCCCCAGGGAAAAUUUCUGCUCCCACCCCCACCAGUAGUGCAGAUGCUGCGUGACACACAGGGACGCCGCCAAGGAGGCAGCCACAGCUCUGGGGGAGGCAGGUUGGCACGGGGGUGGGGGUGGGGGGGGCAGAGCAGCAGCACUCCGGCAGCCCACCGCCACGUUUCGGGCUUCGACCCUCUCACCUUCGAGGGUGGUGGCGCAUGGCGCGCCAUCCACCACGCUGCGGGAGCCUGCUCGCACCAGCAGGCAGCUCUGCUCCAGCUCGCCCUCCGGCACGUAGGUGGCCCGGCUCGCCGCCACCCAAAACUCGCCCACGGCCCYGCCGCCCGCCGCCACCACCGCCAGCCUCUCCGUGAACAGGCACGGCUCCAGCUCCUCCGGCCCUGCCCGGCGAGACAGCCAGCACUGCCGGGGCGCCCCGACGGGACAGCCGGGAGCCCCGGAGUCCUGGCACCCUCCAGCUCUGGCGGCGCUCCCUGCCUCGGUUCACCCCACUGUGCUGGGCAAACACGGAGCUGUAUUUACCCGGCUCAAACGCCAACCCAGAGGAGACCUGGCCCCCCUCUGGCCUCCCCCAGGGGGUCCCAAGGACCAGGAGCCCCCCCCGCUGCGGGCACGCACAGCACAGCACCC
rnacentral:lncRNA from 1 species